rnacentral:misc_RNA from 1 species
GGCGCUUACCAGUAACUGUAAACAUUAGGCUGAGUAUGGUGGAGACUAGAGUGGAACAUUUUACUCCUGGUGUAGCAACUGAUCAUGCGAUGGAAACAGUAGCAGGUGAACACAACCAGCUAAGAGUACUCGAAUUAUACAGUGGUAUUGGAGGUAUGCACUGUGCUUUGAAGGACAGUGGUCUAAACUAUAAAAUUGUGGCAGCAGUUGACAUAAACGAAAAGGCCAAUAUCAUCUACAAACAUAACUUUAGGGAAACCAAUCUGCUUCAAAGAAAUAUUGAGUCCAUAUCAGUGCAGCAACUAGACAAGAUGAAAAUAGAUCUUCUUACAAUGAGUCCACCAUGCCAGCCUUUCACCAGGCUAGGAUGUCAGAAAGAUGUUAGUGACCCAAGAGCAAAGUCAUUCUUAUAUCUACUCAACACAUUACCAAAGUUGGAGAAUCAACCAAAGUACAUUUUAUUAGAAAAUGUAAAAGGCUUUGAGACCUCAAAUGCUAGAGCAGCGUUCAGGGAGAUGCUGGAUAGAUGUGGAUACAUAUAUAAGGAAAUGCUAUUGUCUCCAGUGCAGCUGGGAAUUCCAAAUUCUCGACUUAGAUUCUACCUAAUUGCAAAGAAGUCGCCACUGUCAUUUCAUCCUCCAAAGGAAGCAGAACUUGUCUCUUGCACCCUGUGCCAUAUCAUGAAUAGCUAUUCUGUCUGUAAACAAACUGGAGGGAGCAGGUUCUGUGCAGAUGUGUGGAACUUCUCUGAAUCGGAUCAGCCAUGUAGAACUGUCAAAGCCAAUAACUCCAAGAAAAGAACAUCUGUCAACAGCAAUGCCACUGAGAAAUGUUUACCCGCACUUGGUCAUAAGGUCACUGUAAAUGAAAACGCAUGCAUUGUCCCACCUCAUAAGAUUGGUGGAAGUCUUCAGGAAGCCUCGACAAUAACCUGUCACAUGGACGUUAGUGCUGAACACACAGGAGAAGCUAGUGCAUCACUAGAACGAGCAGCACAAUGUCUGGAGGUAAAGAAUGUGCAGAGUACAUCACACACAGGUGGGAUUAGCUCAGACGCCUCUGCUGUGCUGCAGUGUUGGAGCAGCGUCUGCGGUGGUCAGUUGGAUGACCGCAAGCUGCUGCAUAACUGUCAGGACAGUGCCAUGCGCACAUUGGGCAGCUACCUGUCGCCACAUGACAUGGAGAGCCGACACCAGCUGCCGCAGCAACUUGUCACACGCUUUCUCAAGGUGAUGGACGUGGUGAGCCCACAAUCCACACGGUCGUGCUGUUUCACCAAGGCCUGGCUUAGACUGGUACCCGGUCGGCACCGUCACUCCGUGCAGAGACAGGUCCACGUCCAGAGCCUGUCUACAGCUUGAUCACCAUAGAAUUUCUGCGUGAAGAAUGCUCAAACAAACUAGAUUCUGUUGCUAAACAGCGGUAUGUAGUAAAGAUUUAUUGUGUGAGUGCUGAUCAUUAUGCCAUAUGUAGGUCAGAGUUUAAAUCUGUCCUGGAUUGUGAGAGUAAAGAGCUUCCAGAUGUAGACAGUAGAGUACCGGUACCCAUGAUAAAUACACACGGUGGAUUUUCUGGCCAGUGCACGAAGUGGUACAAGAGUCGUCAUUCAGUCAAAUAUGCUGCAUUUGCAAAGGCUUUCGGAGGAACCGUUGCAAUUAAGUGUGGGUGAUUUGUGAGAAGGAUGGAGGUGUUGUAUGCGGCCAAUCUAACUGCAUGGCAGGGCUU